GGCUCCGUAGCUCAACUGAAUAGAGUGCCAGAUUCCGGUUCUGUAGGUUGCGGGUUUGAAUCCCGCCGGGGUCA
rnacentral:tRNA from 1 species